rnacentral:rRNA from 1 species
GUACACUCCUGCGGGAGGCAGCAGUGGGGAAUAUUGCACAAUGGGCGCAAGCCUGAUGCAGCCAUGCCGCGUGUAUGAAGAAGGCCUUCGGGUUGUAAAGUACUUUCAGCGGGGAGGAAGGCGAUAAGGUUAAUAACCUUGUCGAUUGACGUUACCCGCAGAAGAAGCACCGGCUAACUCCGUGCCAGCAGCCGCGGUAAUACGGAGGGUGCAAGCGUUAAUCGGAAUUACUGGGCGUAAAGCGCACGCAGGCGGUCUGUCAAGUCGGAUGUGAAAUCCCCGGGCUCAACCUGGGAACUGCAUUCGAAACUGGCAGGCUAGAGUCUUGUAGAGGGGGGUAGAAUUCCAGGUGUAGCGGUGAAAUGCGUAGAGAUCUGGAGGAAUACCGGUGGCGAAGGCGGCCCCCUGGACAAAGACUGACGCUCAGGUGCGAAAGCGUGGGGAGCAAACAGGAUUAGAAACCCGUGUAGUCCCAUGAU